rnacentral:rRNA from 1 species
AACGAACGCUGGCGGCAGGCCUAACACAUGCAAGUCGAACGGGACCUUCGGGUCUAGUGGCGGACGGGUGAGUAACGCGUGGGAACGUGCCCUUUGGUUCGGAAUAGCCCCGGGAAACUGGGAGUAAUACCGGAUAAGCCCUGCGGGGGAAAGAUUUAUCGCCAAAGGAUCGGCCCGCGUUGGAUUAGGUAGUUGGUGAGGUAAUGGCGCACCAAGCCGACGAUCCAUAGCUGGCUUGAGAGGAUGAUCAGCCACACUGGGACUGAGACACGGCCCAGACUCCUACGGGAGGCAGCAGUGGGGAAUCUUAGACAAUGGGGGAAACCCUGAUCUAGCCAUGCCGCGUGAUCGAUGAAGGCCUUAGGGUUGUAAAGAUCUUUCAGUGGGGAAGAUAAUGACUGUACCCACAGAAGAAGCCCCGGCUAACUCCGUGCCAGCAGCCGCGGUAACAC